UAUGAAACACACUUCUAAGGCUUUGAAGCACCAAAGGUAUAUCAUAGAAAGUCAGAGAACACAAUAAAGCCAACACUGGCGGCUAACAGAGGAUGAUGAUAGUAGAGUUCAAUGUUAUCUCAAUCUCAUAUAGCUUUGAAGGUCGGCCAUCUACGGACUUAGCCGAUUCAAAGGCCCCAAAAGUGUCACCAUCUCAAAUCACUCAAAACCUCUCAUAGAGUCAACAAAAUAAACUACUCAAGUCUGCUGCAUGAAGUAUAAAGCAGGCAGCAGAAAUCCCUCACAAAGAAGCACUAACAUACAACACAAAAUCACAAGAAAAGAAGUAUGUACAACCCAGCCAGCUCGGAGAUGGUAAGAGAGGAACCCACCUCUAGGUUAAAGGAAGAAGUCGUCCCUUGCUUGAAUGGUAUAAAGGAAGGUCGCUGGACAUCGGACGAGCCUCUGAAAAAAGAAACAUAAUUCGAGAGAAAAAUUCUCUCUCUAGAAGCUACAGAGAG
rnacentral:misc_RNA from 1 species